GCUGUGCGCGACUCCUUUCGCCUUUCCCCGGUUAUGCUAAAGUAGUGAGCUGCGCUGUGUGGAGUAAGCCCGUCAAACUCGGCGGAUAUACUCUCGGAAAGGAAAUUCUAUCUGUACAGAUGAUAUCACUGUUGAAGUAUUUGGAACUUGUGGACCUUGAAUACCAGAGGACCUUACUGGGAAAAGAAUCUCUCUUUAGAGGCAUCAGGAGAAUAUGCAGAUGGAGCAAGAUUGAUGAUCAGACUCAAUCAAGGUGGAGGACACAAAACCCCUCUCACUUAGACAAGCUUAUAGGAAAACAGCUUUAAGUUCCACUGAAUGCAGAACUCUCAGCAAAUUUGCAGAGACAAAAGAACAGCAAAGGAUACUAGCAAAGGAUAUCUUAUUUUUUUUCCAGUUGAAUGGAGAACACUAGAAUGAGUAAGAACAUUAUUGGAUGCCUCCAGAACCUG